rnacentral:rRNA from 1 species
GACGAACGCUGGCGGCGUGCUUAACACAUGCAAGUCGAACGGAAAGGCCUCUUUCGGGGGGUACUCGAGUGGCGAACGGGUGAGUAACACGUGAGUAACCUGCCCUUGACUUUGGGAUAACUUCAGGAAACUGGGGCUAAUACCGGAUAGGAGCUCCUGCUGCAUGGUGGGGGUUGGAAAGUUUCGGCGGUUGGGGAUGGACUCGCGGCUUAUCAGCUUGUUGGUGGGGUAGUGGCUUACCAAGGCCUUGACGGGUAGCCGGCCUGAGAGGGUGACCGGCCACAUUGGGACUGAGAUACGGCCCAGACUCCUACGGGAGGCAGCAGUGGGGAAUAUUGCACAAUGGGUGGAAGCCUGAUGCAGCAACGCCGUGUGCGGGAGGACGGCCUUCGGGUUGUAAACCGCUUUCGCUCAUGACGAAGCUUUGUGUGACGGUAGUGGGUAAAGAAGCACCGGCUAACUACGUG